CGCUUCUUGGUGAAAUGCACCAUUGAAUUUCAAAGUAAGAAAUAAUAUGGCAGUUUACAAAUAGUAGGCAACCAGACUCGCAGGAGCUAGUGACAAUCAGCGACAACUGUCCACAAGGAACACAGCUAUCUUCAAAAUGGCAGACCUUCCAUGCGGUUUUAGCGUUGCCGUACAUUCUAGAAAAAUAUGAGAUGGUGAAAUUUCUGACAUGCUACCGGGUGCGCUAUAUGCCGAAGAAUAAAGUGUUUAUAUUUUGUGCGGCGAACAGUAACCCAUAACAGAACUUAUGUAUCCACAUAGAAUCCACAGAAAGGUUGUUGAAGUUUUCCAUUGACAAAGGUUGGGUUAUUUGGUGAAUGGACAUGCGGUAAUUAGGUAAGCGUGCUGAAAAGGUUUCAUACUGCCGCACCUUUUACCGCGUAUGAAAAAUAUUUUGAGUUGUCACAAAGCAAAUAAAAGUAAUACACGAUCAAGUGUGUAUAGUUUGAAAAUUAAAGGCGAAGCGUUCAUAACGAAAUCGUUUGCUGCAUACGAAACACGACCUGUCUGUGAUGCCCUUUGUUGAAUUUAGCUGCUUUGAUCCAAUGAAUUCGCCUGCGCCCUGCCAUUACAACAGUGACGCGAACAUUAAGAUUUCGCAUUGCAAUCGCAACAGUAGCCGCUGCAACAUACGCUACCUGGAGCAGCACCAUCUUUGCAACCCCUAAAAAUAGCGUUGCAACCGCUUAAACAAAUGUGCCUGCAGCAAUAGCAAUGCGAACAAACAUUCCACAACAACCACAUCAGCCACUGUCUUCUCGCUCGAUUUGGCAGUACAUACAGAAAUUUACUUGACAACGAAUUUCGUAACUUACAAUGAGGAAAAUUUUCGUUCCUACGAGACUACUAUAAGUGGACUGAUUUGGUCCGUUUUCACAUGGAAUACCUAUAGCGAUAAGAUACAAAUUUACAAACUGCCAGAAAACAGCACUUAUAUAUGUGCAUUGCUUGAGCGUUCUUCGCUACGGACGGCGAUAUUCCUAGAUGCGAUACAAAACUGCAGUAAUCGCUUGGCUUUUGCAUAAUGGCUAACUCAAGGGAAAUCAGGCAGGCGAGACCAAAAGGAAUUUGAAAUAGAGUUCACAAGGGAAUUUUCAUGUGGAACUAACAUCUUAUGCCUCUAAUGCAAAAAUCAGAUUAGUAUCUAACGAAUAACAAAUAAUAAUAUGCCCCUCCGGUGGCCUGAAAUUACAAUCAAAUUUCGAGUAUGUAAUUGGAUUUUGUAUGUGAACGGAGGGGUUUCCAUAA